UAUGUGUGAGGGUUAUCAACGGCUCAGGUCAGCUCAUCUCUCUCUGACCACUCUGGCGCUUAGGAGAGGGUCUGUUUUCCUGCCCCCUCUCUGGUUUCCACCAAUUGGCAGGAAAGAAUCCAUCUGCUCCAGAGGUGCAGGCUGUGAGGAGUGAGGUCCCACCUCCACUGGAGCUCCCAAGACAACAUGCCUCCCAAGAAACCUGAACCUAAGAAGGAGGCUGCCAAGCCAGCCGCAGCUGCCGCCGCUGCUCCAGCCCCUGCCCCAGCUCCUGAGCCUGCCAAGGACUCUGCCUUUGACCCCAAGAGUGUGAAGAUAGACUUCAGUGCCGACCAGAUCGAAG